rnacentral:rRNA from 1 species
GUGAAGAAGGCCUUCGGGUUGUAAAGCACUUUUGUCCGGAAAGAAAUGGCUCUGGUUAAUACCUGGGGUCGAUGACGGUACCGGAAGAAUAAGGACCGGCUAACUACGUGCCAGCAGCCGCGGUAAUACGUAGGGUCCAAGCGUUAAUCGGAAUUACUGGGCGUAAAGCGUGCGCAGGCGGUUGUGCAAGACCGAUGUGAAAUCCCCGAGCUUAA